rnacentral:tRNA from 1 species
GCAGGUCUAGCUCAGUGGUAGAGCGCCUGCUUAGCAUACAUGAGGGCUUGGGUUCAAUCCCCAGCGCCUCCA